rnacentral:rRNA from 1 species
GGAAUUGCCCUAGUAACGGCGAGUGAAGCGGCAACAGCUCAAAUUUGAAAUCUGGCUCUCGGGCCCGAGUUGUAAUUUGUAGAGGAUGCUUUUGAUGCGGUGCCUUCCGAGUUCCCUGGAACGGGACGCCAUAGAGGGUGAGAGCCCCGUCUGGUUGGAUGCCAAAUCUCUGUAAAGCUCCUUCGACGAGUCGAGUAGUUUGGGAAUGCUGCUCUAAAUGGGAGGUAUAUGUCUUCUAAAGCUAAAUACCGGCCAGAGACCGAUAGCGCACAAGUAGAGUGAUCGAAAGAUGAAAAGCACUUUGAAAAGAGAGUUAAAAAGUACGUGAAAUUGUUGAAAGGGAAGCGUUUAUGACCAGACUUGGGCUUGGAUAAUCAUCUGGGGUUCUCUCCAGUGCACUUUUCCAGUCCAGGCCAGCAUCAGUUUUCGCCGGGGGAUAAAGGCUUCGGGAAUGUGGCUCUCUCCGGGGAGUGUUAUAGCCCGUUGCGUAAUACCCUGGCGGGGACUGAGGUUCGCGCAUCUGCAAGGAUGCUGGCGUAAUGGUCAUCAACGACCCGUCUUGAAACACGGACCAAGGAGUCGUCUUCGUAUGCGAGUGUUCGGGUGUCAAACCCCUACGCGUAAUGAAAGUGAACGCAGGUGAGAGCUUCGGCGCAUCAUCGACCGAUCCUGAUGUUCUCGGAUGGAUUUGAGUAAGAGCAUACGGGGCCGGACCCGAAAGAAGGUGAACUAUGCCUGUGUAGGGUGAAGCCAGAGGAAACUCUGGUGGAGGCUCGCAGCGGUUCUGACGUGCAAAUCGAUCGUCAAACAUGGGCAUGGGGGCGAAAGACUAAUCGAACCUUCUAGUAGCUGGUUUCCGCCGAAUAUCUCCUCAGGGAAAAAAAA